CUACGGAGGGUGCAAGCGUUACUCGGAAUCACUGGGCGUAAAGCGCGCGCAGGCGGUCUUUUAAGUUGGAUGUGAAAGCCUACGGCUCAACCGCAGAACUGCAUCCAAAACUAUUAGACUAGAGUGUGGGAGAGGAAGAUGGAAUUAGUAGUGUAGGGGUAAAAUCCGUAGAGAUAACUAGGAAUACCAAAAGCGAAGGCAAUCUUCUGGAACACUACUGACGCUGAGGUGCGAAAGCGUGGGGAGCAAACAGGAUUAGAUACCCCUGUAGUCC
rnacentral:rRNA from 1 species